rnacentral:lncRNA from 1 species
GGAAAAACAAGCUUUCCAUUGAAAGGCUUCAAGUAUAUUUCAGGGCACUUCAUACUGCUAUUGGAGAAUGUGUGGGAGGAGUGGAAGUUGAGAAAAGUUUGAAAACCCCUAUUUAUACAAAGUUGUUUUCCCUGGUACUUUAUCAGCAUCCAGUUCCCUUUUAUACUUUAAUUAGGCAUCUGUCUGGGAGAGGAGUGGGUAUGCCAUUUCUGCAUGCUCCUGCUACUCGUUGUCUAACUAAAUCUGGUCCUCUUACUGACAGACUGAGGAUGGCACAUGCCAAGGUACAAUCAGGUUUUGUUUCACUGGAACGAAAGAUCAGCCUGACUCAGCGCUUUUGUUUCUAAUGAUGUGUUUGCUCUCUCCACCUCCUCCAGGGCAUCUGGUUUAUGCUCUGAGCCAUGUGGUGGCUCAGACUUCUUUACUGUGCUACUUAAUUUAGCAUUUAACAUGUUUUUGUGCACCUAUGUUGAACACUAACUCGUUAGGCAGGCAGGCUAGAUCAUGCUUGUGGCUGUGGCUGCUGGCACUCUUCACUUCCUUGUAGAAUGUCAUUCAAAUGCUACAGUAAAUGUAGAAAAGAGGUCUGAACUUCGAUUCCUGAUAAAUUUCUUAACUCUCACAUCUUAUGCCUUUUGAGAUUCCAGUUUUGACACAAGUCAUCGUUUUUUACAAGCUACAGAUGCUCAUACCAGAUAAUUGACGUUACAGUGCAACUGCUUUCAUGGUUCUGCCCUGAUCCUCUCCGCUCAGAUCCUGGUGGUGUAGCUCUGCACAUCGAAGGUAGUUCCUGACUCUCUGCACUGGCAGGAGGAAAUCCCCUGGGAGCACUUCUGUGUGUGAUGUUCCGGAGACUGCUUGCUUGUCUGGGACCAACCUUAGGUUUUUUGCAGUAUCCUUUCUCAUUCCUAAAUCUUAUCGAAUGCCGGGGUGAUGCUCAGUACCUACUCUGUAUUGUAAUGGAAGAGUCAAAGGCAACUUCUGUUUUUUUUUUGAGAAACGCAUCCUUUUGAGAGAGAAGGAUUCAAGUUAAUUUGUGUGGUUACUGUAUAGUGCAGCUUGCCUCUACCUUGUCCAACUUCAUUUUCUUGCAUCUUUGGCUGCCUUGAAAAUAAACAGUUUGAAUGUAAACUAGAAUGAUCCUUUUCAAUUAUACUUGUAUAUAAUAUCAAUUUGUCUCCCGUUCUAAAACAACCAUUGCAUCACAAUAUGCAACUGUCUGCAGAAUAAUUGUGACAUAGAGAAAGGCAAAAACAAAAGCCUUGAAGUACACAAUAAGUGUAAUCAACCCAUGGUGUGGAUUUUCUUUCUCUUUUUCUAGAGUUAUUUUCUCUUUCCUCUUUUACUUUCUCAGUAUGGUUUGAAGAAGAUGCUAAGAUGGGAAGGAUUUAAUUUUGACAGAGCUUAAUAGUUUUUUUCUGAGCAGCUGCCAAGGAAGCUGUAAAUAGUGUGGCCAGCACUUGUUGUAUACAUUACACAAAUGCAGUACCAACCAUUUCUGUUACUGUAUGAACUCGUGGGUUUUGGAACUGUCUCCUUUGCUGACAUUCUUGACUUGCUUUUACAGACUAUUGAUCUUUUAUUUAUUUUAUUUAUUUUUGUAAUGUCUUAAGGGCUUGGAAUAUUCCUUUGUUAGAGUUCUCCCAUACAUCUUCUAAGUAAUCUAUCUCUGACACAGGUUGGUCCAGAUUUGUUUAUGGAAGCGAUCAAAAAACCACAUUUCUUAAGAGCUGUUUUAGUCUAUAGCUUACACACGGCAUGUAGCAGUAGGCAUUUCACCUAACUACAUGCAGUAGUGAUGUAGGUGAAGCUUUUUCUUCUGUGUAUCUUCCACAUCCCUCUGGAUAUUUUUUCUUGGGACCUCGUUGUUCAUUUGCAAUAGCGAAUAGUUCCACUGCAAUAGCACCCGGAGGUGCUUCAAUAAAGCCAACAGCAAGAACUUAUUAAAAGGCAUCCAUAAAUCUGUAGGUCUCCAGAGUAAAUUUAGUGGCUUGAAUAAAUUCAAACUGAAAUUAAAGUCACAGUAUUGCCAUUAAGUUUAUUAAGAAAAUAUGUUGUGGAGGUGAGCAAAAAAUGAAUAUAUGAAAUGUAGCCAAGGUCUGAGAAACUGCUGUUAUUAAAACAUAAAUGCUAUGCAUCCUGCUCCCCCCUCAAAAAAAGUGGUGGAGGCUUGAUUUUUACCAGAAGAUAUGUGAGAGGACUGACUAUAAAAGUGAGAAAGAAACUAAUGCAGGCUGCAUCACGUGGCAUGUGUAUUUGUGAGCAUGUAAGGGUAUAAUGGAGGCGGCUGGCUGCUGACAGCGCCCUGCUUCAACUGAAGUCUGGUGUGUGGUGCUGGGCCGAAAAGGGCUGCUACUUUUCCUUACCGAACUGUGAGUGUUUUGAGGGAGCAGAUCCUCAGCUGCUCAUUUCUCUGGAAUUGGGCUAAUUGAAAGCAUGCAAGGGUCCAGCUGGUAUUUCUGCCUGUGAUAAAAGGCGUGAAGAACACUGAACAAGAUGACAGUCUUAGAGGUGCUGCAGGCAGGCU